AGAGAGAGACAUGCGCGCAUAUCAAUAAGCGGAGGAAAAGAAACUAACAAGGAUUCCCCUAGUAACGGCGAGUGAAGCGGGAAGAGCUCAAAUUUGAAAUCUUCAAGGUUCUACCUUGACGAAUUGUAGUUUAAAGAAGUGUUUUCUGUUGGAGUUUUGGUAAAAGUUCUUUGGAAUAGGACAUCAUAGAGGGUGAGAAUCCCGUAUUUGACCAUUAUUUCCAGCUUUGUGGUACACUUUCAAAGAGUCGGAUUGUUUGGGAAUGCAGUCCAAAAUGGGUGGUAAAUUUCAUCUAAAGCUAAAUAUUGGCGAGAGACCGAUAGCGAACAAGUACCGUGAGGGAAAGAUGAAAAGAACUUUGAAAAGAGAGUUAAACAGUACGUGAAAUUGUCAAAAGGGAAGCGUUUGACACCAGUGUUGUUUUCUCGAAAAUCAAUUAAAAAGAGUUAGAUUUUGUUGUGUAUUGACCUUAACAGCUUGCAUUUCAAUUUUCUUGCUUUUUUUAAUGCACUUUUCGUUUAACAAGUCAACAUCAAUUUCUUUUGUUGUAAAAGGGUCAUUGGAAGGUGGCUUUCUUUUCGGAGAAAGUGUUUAUAGCCUUUGGCCUCUGCAAUCGGAGAGAUUGAGGUCUGCAGCGUAGAUCCUUCGGGGUUAGAUACAUUUGUGCUAAGUUAUAGCCUUUCAUAGACAACUUGUUGACUAUGAUCAGUCAUGUAGCUUACUCGCUUAUGCUAUUUUACCUACGCUUAGGAUGUUGAUGUGAUACUGCGAGCA
rnacentral:rRNA from 1 species